UACGUAGGGGGCAAGCGUUGUCCGGAAUCAUUGGGCGUAAAGCGCGUGUAGGCGGCUCGGUAAGUCUGCUGUGAAAGUCCAGGGCUCAACCCUGGGAUGCCGGUGGAUACUGUCGAGCUCGAGUCCGGAAGAGGCGAGUGGAAUUCCUGGUGUAGCGGUGAAAUGCGCCGAUAUCAGGAGGAACACCAAUGGCGAAGGCAGCUCGCUGGGACGUGACUGACGCUGAGACGCGAAAGCGUGGGGAGCAAACAGG
rnacentral:rRNA from 1 species